GUAAUUGUAGCUUAAAAAACUAAAGCACGGCACUGAAGUUGCCGAGAUGGAAAAUCAAAAAUUCCCAAAAACA
rnacentral:tRNA from 1 species